CAGUUUUCUAAAACACUGCUUGAAAGAGUCAUUGCAUCAAACAGAAUCGACAUUGUUAAUAGUCUGGUGCAUCACGGAGUGAGAUUGACGCCUAUAUAGUCUGAAAAGUAAAGAGCAAGUAUAUAUGAAGUUGCUGGGAGGGAAAGACUAUAGAGAACUUGAAGCUUUCUGAAACACUUCUUGAAAGAGGGAAAGACAAUUCAUCAUUAUAUCUAAAGACAUGCGGGGUUAUUCGUCCGAUUAUGCAUCACUGAGAGAGGUGGCUGCCUCGAGUCUAAAGAGCAAGAUUACUCAAUUAUGAAACUUGACGACUCUUUCUGUUUUUCAAAAGAAAAUGAAACUCAAUUAUUCAAAUAGGAAGAAGAGUUUUAUUGAAGAUAACUAAGAUGUGCUAGCCAACAAAUGCGUUGAG